rnacentral:rRNA from 1 species
UACGGAGGAUCCGAGCGUUAUCCGGAUUUAUUGGGUUUAAAGGGAGCGUAGGUGGACUGGUAAGUCAGUUGUGAAAGUUUGCGGCUCAACCGUAAAAUUGCAGUUGAUACUGUCAGUCUUGAGUACAGUAGAGGUGGGCGGAAUUCGUGGUGUAGCGGUGAAAUGCUUAGAUAUCACGAAGAACUCCGAUUGCGAAGGCAGCUCACUGGACUGCAACUGACACUGAUGCUCGAAAGUGUGGGUA